rnacentral:lncRNA from 1 species
CAAACUGUUAAUCUUCAAUACCCCUUUGUACUUACGAUCUUGUAUCCACUGACUGUCCUGUUAGAUUAACCCAAUAAAUUUCAUUCACUCCGCAUACUCAAUCCUAUAGACACCCCUUUAAUCCUUCAAUCACAGACGUAACUCGAUUUUACAAAACAGUCAAGAGUAUUCAACCCCACUUCAUUUAAAAAUCCCGAUUCACCAUUACAACACUGACUUCAACAGCGAUUGCCUCAGUCUUCCCAAAACUCUAUGAAGAAGAAAAAUCCAAAUUCUAUGUCUUUCCUUCCCCGACCCGAAGCAUGAAGCUCCUCUCUCUAAUUCCCUUGAUCUUCAAAAACCUCCAAUGAAACCCGAACUGGUAACCUUGCAAAAGCUUGAAAAACUCGCUCCCUCCCCCCGAUUCCCCGAAAAAAAAAACCCCCCCUCCUCAAAACUAUAUUCUCCCCUAACCUUAUCCUCUGAAUUUCUUCAAUCUUCCAUCUUAGAUCCGGAAUUGGCUCCCGCCGUCAGAGCUUAGAUCCGAAAUUGGCUCACGUCAUCAAGGCCUUCUCCUUCGUUUUUACCUUUAAGAGAUCCAUUUAUCGUAAACAACGUUCCCUGAAACGGCACAGAGAACAGGACAGCCCGAAACAGAAUCGAAACCCCGUAAUCGGGACCACAUUGAGUCGCCCGACCAAUUCAGGUCCUAUAUUGGGAAAGAUGCCCGUAGUAACCUGGAUGUUCCCGUAAUUGGGUCACAUUGAGUCGCCCGACCAAUUCAGGUCCUAUAUUGGGAAAGAUACCCGUAGUAACCUGGAUGUUCCCGUAAUUGGGUCAAAUUGGUCCUCGCGUCAGAUUGGCUAAGACCCGUAGUAAGACCUGGAUUUUUCGUAAUUAGACCACAUUGGGUUGACCGGCCAAUUCAGGUCUCAUAUUGGAUAAGAGGACCCGGAUUGGAUUAUCGAAAUUGGAUCCAAUUGGCUCCUCGAACCCGUCGUGUGAAUUGGUCCUUCUCUUCCUGCUGACUCCCGUUAUUGGAAUCGAAUGGAACAUUUCAGUAUGCCCCGGCUGACUGUAACGGAGUGACUGAACCUGACCACUCAGUAUUUGUACUGGAGUUGGUCGAUGCUCCCAUUAUUCGAGGUAACUGAAUAUUAAUAAAAUACCCCAUUUUUUUUAUUUUCACUGUAUACUCGUGUUACAACACGACAUCCACCCCCUCUGAACCUGUGCAUCCUCCGGUAUGCACCAAUUUACCCAAUUGCUGUUUGAUUCAGAAUAUAUCCCCUACGUCUUUGUCCAGUUCGUCUUCGUCACCUUCAUUUUCCAAAUCACUUUCAUCUUCUUGCUGCGGAAUCUCUGUACCUUCAUUAAGGUCUUCCAUAUUCAUCUCCGCGUGUCUUCAUUUAAAUAUUUUUACUCGCUUCCCUGCAAUUGGUAUUUUUAAUUUUGUACCAUCUAACUCCCGUAAUGAGUAAGUCGCAUUAUCAUGAACAUUUGUUACAAUAUAUGGUCCAAACCAACGUUUUGAAAACUUCCGCAAAGUACUAUGUUGAUUAUCUAGACUAUUGUCAUAAACAAGUACCCUGUCACCUUCCUCGAUUGCUUUUGGUCUCAAUCGAUGUUGCUUAUCGAAUCGUGCCUUGUUUUGUAACCUUGCUCUUUUUAACCUUUCCAAUGCUAUCUGGACAUCUUCCGUUCUUUGCUCCAAUUGUCGAAUCCUAAUAGCCAGAAGUUCUUGUCUUGUCAAUCCAUCUUCCCAUGGUAGCAUACUCCAAGUAAGUACCUUUUCUUCAAUCGGCAUAAUUGGUUUUUGACCUGUCAUAAGUUCUACUGGCAUAUAUCCUGUCACCGAACUAUGUGUUGUUCGAUCAGCCCAUAAUGCAAAUGACAAAAGCCGUGGCCAGUCUUUAACCUUCCCAUUACAAGCUUUAACCAAUGCUUUCACAAUCGGCGGGUGACCACGUUCGCUUUUCGCAUUCCCUUCCGGAUUAUAAGCAGUAGUCAGUGAUAGUUUAACUCCACAUUUUUCAAAGAACUUACGAGCUUCUUGUGCAUUUAAUUCUCCACGAUCUGCAGUGAUUUUUCCUACGCACCCGUAACGGCAAAUGACAUCUUCAAGCAAAAACCUACAAAUCCCCUCUGUAGAUUUUGUCCUCAAUGCUCUUCCUUCUACUUGAUUUGAUAAAUCUUCACGAGCUAAAACCAAAUAUCUCAUCUGCCAUAACCCAAUCGGAAUAAUAACCAAAUCAACAAUCCAUUUAAAAUGAAUAGCCAGAGGAUACGUAGGAUGAAGACCAUCUCGAUGUCGGAUAUUAGAAUACGAUUGACAGAUUUCACAUGACUCUACAAAUGAGAGCACAUCUCGAUACAUAUUUUUCCACCAAUAUCGUUCCUUGAGUUUAGCAAAAGUAGCUCAGAUUCCUCUAUGCCCUGCCCAUAAACUAUCAUGAAACUCUUUUAAUAAUUUUAGUUUUUCUUCCCUUUUGCCUAUCACUCGUUGUGGCAUCCCAAUUCCUUUCUUCGGUCUCUUCCAUAAGAAUCCAUCUCGAAGUAAAAAUCCAUAUGUUUUUUUUCUUAUUUGUUUGAAUUUUUCUGUAGACCAAUUCCCCUGCUUAGACAAGGUAUUCAAAUAAUGACCAAUAUCCAAUAAUUCUCCUUCAUAAGUUUCUUCAAGAAAUAGCUUGUCUUCUCUGUUGAGAUUCGAUAUUGAAUAGAAUUUCAAUCUGACAUCAUCAAUGUCUUCAACCGUUUCGUCCUCUCUCUUGUAUCUUGCUCGAGAUAGCAUGUCUGCUACUAAAUUGUCCUUUCCAGUGAUAUACUUAAAUUUUGGAUUUAGUGACUUAAUAUAAGCAAUCCAUCUCAACAUUGCAAUAUCUGGCAUUGAACAGUUAAUAAUCAUUCCAAGCAAUGGCAAGCAAUUUGUUUCAAUUACUACUACUGCCCCAAUCAAAUAGUCCUUUUCAGCUUUCAUAGCCGAAACGACUCCCCAAAGUUCUCUUUUGACUUGCGAAUAUGCACGCUGACGAAUACUUAAAACUUUAGCCCCAAAUCGAACUGCAAAUCUACUCCCAUUCGAAUCAUCUUGACCCACAGCCCAUCCAACGGCAAUUGGACUAGCGUCUACAGUAAGAAUCACUGGUCUAUUGCACUUAUAAUCAACCUUCCUCAAUAUUGGAGGUGACAUCAAUAAUUUCUUCAAUCUUUGCAUUGCCUGAAUAUGCCUUUCUUUCCAUUCAAAUCGGUAACCCUUGCGUAACAGUUCAUAUAAUAGAUCUGCUAUGUGAGCAAAAUGAGGGAUCCAGAUUCGAUAAAAUACACAUGCACCCAAAAACCUGCGAACCUCUGUUAAAGAACCACAAUCCUCUGUUAAAUGUCCAACAAUUACAACCUCUCGCACUCCAAAUACGGACUUCAUACCCGAUAAUGUAAGAUGAACUUCUCCAAGCCGAGUUAAAAUCUUUUCACAAUCUUGUAUAUGAUCAACAACAUAUUUGCGACACCCCCUCGUAUCUAAAGUUUCAUCCUUGUCUCCUUCUCUGCACCCUUUUAUAGGAACAUCAUCCAGAAAAGGCAUAGUCUUUUCCGGAAUAAAAUCUCUCAAUACCUUAUUCAUCCCAUUCAUCAUAUGUGCAACUGAGUUGGUCGCGCCUUGAGGAAGAGUGCACAUUCUAACCAAUCCAAGCGGUGUCCUCAUCGUUGUCAUAUCUCUACUUCCUUCGGCAAGUUGAAAUUGAUCAUAACCUGAAUACAAAUCACCCAUUGAAUAGAUCGCCCUUCCAGCAAACGCCUCAGCAAAUUCAUCCACAAUAGGUCCAAUUCCUGUAUUCCUGACAGUUACAGCAUUCACCGGCUGCAUAUCUUGAAUAAACCACAGUGACCCAUUCUUCUUAGGUACCGUAAACCAUCGACUAGAAUACGGCGCAAAUGAAGGUUCUAAUAUUUUCAUCUUUAUCUUUUCUUUCAAUAGUUCCACCAAUUUAGGUAAAUGUGCCCUUGGUACUGGAAUCGGUCUUAGAUUCCAAGGUACAUGCGGUACAGUGAAAAUAACCAUAGGUGUUAUAAUAUUUGGAUCCACACACCCAAUUUCAUGAGAUUCGAAGGCAAACGAUCUACCUUGUUUAGCCAACAUCUUUUUGAAGCAAGUAAUUUCCUCCGGCAAUAAAGAACCAUCAGAACCAAUCUUCAAUUCUUCAAAAGUCUCUUCAGUAAACUGAUGUCCAAUACUCAUUGGAUCUCUUAAACUUGCUUCUUUUGAUGCUUCUUCCAUUUGUUCUUUAGAAUCCUCUGGUAAUGGUCCGGCAACAGGCUUUACCUUCUUAUCUGCCGUUUUAUAUCUUGUCUCUACUGUGACUUCUGGUGCUUGAAAAGAUUCAAGCAUGGUAUAAACCUCUCUCGAAUGAAUCUCAACAAUCUUAUCAUUAUCCCCUAACCCAAUAGAUGUAAUCAAUUCCAAUGAAUCUUCCAGCCCAUUUUCUUCAUAAACACCCAAAAUCCUCUCAUCAUCUUGCAAUGUACCUAUCUUGCGUAACUGUCCUUCAAUAUCAUAUAAUCUUUUUCUUUCUUUUCUUUUAAAAUCAUCAACUUUCUUAUACAUAAUAUUUCCAUUCUCCAAUAUACCAAUAAAACUCGCAUCAAAGGCACCUUCAUCUCGCGAGAGUACCUCCUCUUUUGUACCUCCAUAAUCUCGCUUUACAGUGGUACCUCCCCAAAAUCCUUAAAUCCUUCAACAAUCUUUGGCAAUGGUUUCUCCCUCAACCUAUCUCGAUUCCAUUCAUGGUUAGGAGGUACUGUUAGAAAUUGUACAGCUUUCCUCCCAUCCUCGCUACGUACCCUCGCAUAAGCAGAACCAUCGUCAAGUACCUUUGUUUCCAUCCGUGUUGCCGUGAUAUAAGGUUGUCCUAAAAUCAACGGAUAAGACAUUGUAUCUUGAACGAAGAAAUGUUGCUCUGUAGCAACAUCCCCAAUCCAAAUUUUGACAUCUGGACAAGCUCCAUAUAAUUCGCCUCGUGUGUUAAUAGCCGCUCGUAUUGCCCAUCCAUGUUCCAUAUCAAUUGGCCAUUUUUGCUUCUUAUAAAGAUCUUUAGACAUGAGAUUUAUUUCAGAACCAUGGUCCACCAAGGCAACUAUUGGUUCUUCUAUAUCUCCUACCUUCACCAAUACCUCAGUAGUUGUCCUUGCCCAAUGCUUUCGAAUAUAAUGGCUCAAAGUUUCCAUUUCCUUAUCACUAGAAUCUUCGAAAUGUACUCAUUGAUUAUACCCAUUCUUUUCAUUUGUUGGUUGCUUGUAACCAAUAUCAACCUCUUCUUCAUCUCUACAUAUUCUUGCAUCAAUAGCAUGACUCAUUCCAGUUUCGCUCAUUAAUUGCCUCUUUCGCUUAAUGCUGUCAAUGAUAACAUCAUGAAACUCCUUCUUUGCAAUUCCCAAGACUUCUUUCAACGUAAAUUCCACCUUAGCAUUUAAUAUACGUUCUUCCAACACCCCUUUCAAAUUUGUUGCCGCUUCAAUGUCAGAAAGUAGCUUAUAAGCAAUUGAUUUGCCCUUAUCUUUUGUCUCCGUUGUUUUUUCUCCCAAUGAUGCUGAGGUAUCCUUUACAGGUAAUUCUUGUGAAGCUGCCUCCCGAGCCUUGUCUCCUCGAGUUUGCCUCUUAAAAGAAUUUCCUUCUCUAGUAUCAUUAAAAUUUCCUCGUCUUUUUUCUUCCAUCAAAGCUUCAUGUUGGCUCUUAGCAAUAUAUGCAUGAACUGAAAGAGACUCAACAGGAUCCUCCCAACCUGUUCUUCCUCGUAUUGUAGCUGCAGUUCUCAAUAACGCUUCUCGAGGUAAUUUUCCUUCUUGCAUUGUAGAAACGGUAGAAGCCCAAAAUUCACUAGUUUCCGUACUUCUACCAAUUUCAUCAUCUACUGUAGCACCAUAACUUACACUUCUUCGUGCUGUUGUUUCAUACUCUUUUAGGUAAUCUUGAACCAAUGCUCUCAUUCCUCCCUUGCCAAAAUUGGUUUGAAGAAGAUCCUCUCUAUUUUUCAAUGCUAUCUUCCCAUCUUUCCAGCAAAUAAUUCCCUGCCGUAUCAUAUUAUUAAAUUCAUUGCAAUCUUUUCUAGUGUGUAAAGCAUCAUCACACCAAAUGCAUCUUUGUACAUAUCCUUGUUUUGAAACAUUCUUCGAAUUGUUUAUAGAAGUAUUCUCUUCAAGUCUUGCCAAUUUGAUUUGAAGAUCUCGCAUUUCUCGUAUAAUUUCUUCCAUACCCAUAUCUGCUUUCUUUGACAAGGAUGUCGAAGGUUGAACUGUAGGCAUUGUCGGUGGUGUUGUACGUACUGGAGCUUUGGGUGCUUGUACUGUUUUCGGAAUAUUGCUCCUAUCCUUCCUCCUUUCUUUUUUUGUAAGCAACUCCACCGCAUCUUCAACGUUCUUUCACUUCGUUGUCAAUCCUUCAUCUUCUUCUUUGUCUUCAAGAAGGGGUUCUAAUUUCUCUUGCAAUUCUCCAUCAGCAGCUUGAAGAAAUAGAUCAACUUUGUUCGGCUCCAAUGUCAAUUUUUCUACCUUCGAUAAUUGAGAGUACUACCUCUCAAAUUGCCUUAGUAGCUCUGUUGCUUGCAAAUUCUUAUUGGGCCGUUCAAUCCAUCCCAGAAACAGCUUCUUAGUAACGCGAUCAGCAUCUUCCAAGAAAUAUUCGUCUUUCAAUGCAUGUGAAAAAUCCUCCCAUGAAUUCCCACAAUGAUCCGUAAUCGAUGUAAUGUGGUCCCUUAUCUCCGGUAUCGUGGCAAGUCCAAAUAGUGCAACCAUUUUCUUCUCAGAAACUCGAUUUAAUUCCAUUUCACGAACAUAACAUCUUAAAUACCUUGAAAUAUUCCUCCCAUCAAAUUGAUCAAUUUUAUUGACCACUGCUUACAAUGCUUUGGUUGCCAAAGCUUCCUUUCGAUCAUUGCUUUGCUGUUGCUGCAUUGACAAUGAGAAGGCUUGAAACAAACUAGCAAUAGACGGAUCCAUGUGCAUACCUUGUCCUUUAGAAGACUCUCCACUAGAAACUUCUCCCAAAAAUCCUUCAAAAUUUUUAUUUUCGUUUUUCAUAAAAAUAAAGAUAAAAUCAACCGAAAUCCAAUACCUUCUACCUCAAGCUUUCACGUCGAAUUCACCACUUAUGUCGUAUUACGUACCUUCCUGCUCGAGAACGCGCCGGGCGUCUGGCUAUAGAAGGUAGUAUGGAGAUUCACCGAUAGUCAAGCAGUCUAUCAGUUUUUGACUGCUAGAAUAUAAACGACUACAACAAUGUACCGUAAAUCUAUACGGAUGCUCUUCGACUGCUUGUCGAAGUCUUUUUUUUGCCCCAGCCGAUAGGUCUCUAGACGUUACAGAGAACCCCGAACAACCCAAACUGUUAAUCUUCAAUACCCCUUUGUACUUACGAUCUUGUAUCCACUGACUGUCCUGUUAGAUUAACCCAAUAAAUUUCAUUCACUCCGCAUACUCAAUCCUAUAGACACCCCUUUAAUCCUUCAAUCACAGACGUAACUCGAUUUUACAAAACAGUCAAGAGUAUUCAACCCCACUUCAUUUAAAAAUCCCGAUUCACCAUUACAACACUGACUUCAACAGCGAUUGCCUCAGUCUUCCCAAAACUCUAUGAAGAAGAAAAAUCCAAAUUCUAUGUCUUUCCUUCCUCGACCCGAAGCAUGAAGCUCCUCUCUCUAAUUCCCUUGAUCUUCAAAAACCUCCAAUGAAACCCGAACUGGUAACC